UGUGCCAGCAGCCGCGGUAAUACGGAGGGUGCAAGCGUUAAUCGGAAUUACUGGGCGUAAAGCGCACGCAGGCGGUUUGUUAAGUCAGAUGUGAAAUCCCCGGGCUCAACCUGGGAACUGCAUCUGAUACUGGCAAGCUUGAGUCUCGUAGAGGGGGGUAGAAUUCCCAGGUGUAGCGGUGAAAUGCGUAGAGAUCUGGAGGAAUACCGGUGGCGAAGGCGGCCCCCUGGACGAAGACUGACGCUCAGGUGCGAAAGCGUGGGGAGCAAACAGGAUUAGAUA
rnacentral:rRNA from 1 species